AGUGAACGCUGGCGGCGUGCCUAAUACAUGCAAGUCGAACGGAGUGGCGCACGGGUGAGUAAUAUAUAGAUAACUUGCCCAUUACUAAGGGACAACAGUUGGAAACGACUGCUAAUACCUUAUAGUAAUGGAUAGGGCUAUAUCGUAUCAGCUAGUUGGUAAGGUAACGGCUUACCAAGGCUAUGACGCGUAACUGGUCUGAGAGGAUGAUCAGUCACUCUGUAACUGAGACACCGUCCAGAUUUCUUCGGGAGGCAGCAGUAGGGAAUAUUGCCCAAGGGGGGAAAGCCUGAAGCAGCUACUCUGCGUGUAGUAUUUAACUGUUCGGAGCGGAAACUCCUUUUCUUGGGAAAGCGGUACCCAAGGAAUAAGCACCGGCUAACUCCGUGCCAGCAGCCGCGGUAAUAC
rnacentral:rRNA from 1 species